AAUGGCAAGUGACCAUUUAAACCCAUAGCCCUGAUCAAGUGGGAGGGCUUUGAGGAUGUUUUGGGGGGGUGUUGUAGGAGUUGGGACUUGAGGUGGGGAACCCCUUAAAACUGAUCACCUCCUUUUUGUCUUUUCUAGGUCAAAGAGUUAUUCCUCAGCCACCAGCAGUGGCGCUCCUGCAUUAGACCUCCCUGCCUUCCUGAGAUCCCAUCAUAGAGCUGAGCUUUUAUUUCUCCUCUUGUUGGCCUGCCUUUCCUCGCUGGAAUGCUGGAAACUCUGGAAAAAGAGCAGCACAGAUACAGAAACUGCCUGCUAAUUUUUUUGUCCUCCACUCUUGGGCAGGGGAGAUUUAGAGGAAGAAGGAAACC
rnacentral:lncRNA from 1 species